rnacentral:lncRNA from 1 species
CACCCAAAUUUUUCCUAGAGAUCACAGCCAGUGGUUGGCCCUGCUGUACCUAGACCAAAUUAUCAGGACCUGAUAUAUAGGCAUGGACCAUACCACCAGUUUCAAAAUACUCCUCAACCAUCUAUCACUGAUCACAGCUCAACUUUUGAAAAUAAGGUUCUAAAAGUACUAGAACGAUUAAAAGUCAACACCCAGACCCUUAACUCCCACACACAAUCCAUUGCUAAGCUAGAGACCCAAAUAGGUCAACUAGCAACC